rnacentral:lncRNA from 1 species
ACGCGAUAACCCAAUGAUUUGUCCAGGUCAACAACCAGUUCGGGUAUGAUAAGUAUUGUGUUGACACAGCUUGAUGCUUACACAGUUUUGAAAAGCAUUUAUAAUCGAGCUAUGCCAGUUGAUCUUUUAGCUAUGCUUAUGAUCUUAUGAUGGUCAAAUCGGAUGUUUGCAUAUUGCUUCCCAAAUCAGGAUCUGCCUCGUCUUUCCGCAGGAUUAAGUCACAUUAUGUAUUUUGUCUUGCAAGACACCAUUUUGUGCCAAUGCCUCAAUCUUAAUGACCAACCUGGAACAUCCUAUCGAUGGAUGAGUGACCGCUUAGACCCUUCUAUUAUCAGGGACGGAGUGUACUGAUGUGAAGCGAGACUUAUUAUGUGGGGUGAGGUGCUAUUACUUAAUGCUCUUGUUGUCCG